GACGAACGCUGGCGGCGUGCUUUAUACAUGCAAGUUGAACGAAUAUAAGAGAGCUUGCUUUCUUAUAUUAGUAGCGGACGGGUGAGUAACACGUGAGCAACCUACCAUAUUCAGGGGGAUAACACAGAGAAAUUUGUGCUAAUACCGCAUAAGACUACGAGAAGACAUCUUCUAGUGAUCAAAGCUCCGGCGGAAUAUGAUGGGCUCGCGGCCUAUUAGCUAGUUGGUGAGAUAACAGCUCACCAAGGCGACGAUAGGUAGCCGACCUGAGAGGGUGAUCGGCCACACUGGAACUGAGACACGGUCCAGACUCCUACGGGAGGCAGCAGUAGGGAAUAUUGGGCAAUGGAGGCAACUCUGACCCAGCAACGCCGCGUGAGCGAUGAAGGUCUUCGGAUUGUAAAGCUCUGUUCCGAGGGACGAAAAAAAUGACGGUACCUCGGGAGGAAGCUCCGGCUAACUAUGUGCCAGCAGCCGCGGUAAUAC
rnacentral:rRNA from 1 species